CCUACGGGGGCUGCAGUGGGGAAUAUUGGACAAUGGGCGAAAGCCUGAUCCAGCCAUGCCGCGUGUGUGAAGAAGGCCUUCGGGUUGUAAAGCACUUUCAGUGGGGAAGAAAGCCUUGGGGCUAAUACCCUCGAGGAAGGACAUCACCCACAGAAGAAGCACCGGCUAACUCCGUGCCAGCAGCCGCGGUAAUACGGAGGGUGCGAGCGUUAAUCGGAAUUACUGGGCGUAAAGCGCGCGUAGGCGGUCUGAUAAGCCGGUUGUGAAAGCCCCGGGCUCAACCUGGGAACGGCAUCCGGAACUGUCAGGCUAGAGUGCAGGAGAGGAAGGUAGAAUUCCCGGUGUAGCGGUGAAAUGCGUAGAGAUCGGGAGGAAUACCAGUGGCGAAGGCGGCCUUCUGGACUGACACUGACGCUGAGGUGCGAAAGCGUGGGUAGCAAACAGGAUUAGAUACCCCUGUAGC
rnacentral:rRNA from 1 species